GCGCACCAGGCGCGAAAACUUCACACUGUGCGAAAGCACGAUGAGGGAAUCCCAAGUGCUUGCACGUAAGUGUAAGCUGUUUCUCUGUUUAAAACGCAGAGAGAGUAAGGGCUGGGUAAGACGGGUGCCAGCCGCCGCGGUAAUACCUGCAGCUCAAGUGGUGACCAUUAUUAUUGGGCCUAAAACGUCCGUAGCCGGUUUAAUAAAUGCCUGGGUAAAUCGUGUAGCUUAACUAUACGAAUUCCGGGUAGACUGUUAAACUCGAGACCGGGAGAAGUUAGAGGUACUCCUGGGGUAGAGGUGAAAUUCUGUAAUCCCAGGGGGACCACCAGUGGCGAAGGCGUCUAACUAGAACGGGUCUGACGGUGAGGGACGAAGCCCUGGGGCGCAAACGGGGAUUAGAUACCCGGGUAGU
rnacentral:rRNA from 1 species